CAGUGGCUGCGGCAGCUCCGGGAGCCGGAGGGACGGGGCCGGGCGGCCGGCGACCGCCGCGCUCCCCUGACCUGCGUGCCCCGCUGGCCGCACCGGGCUGCCCCAAAGGAUGUCCGCCCAGUCCAAGGGGACCGCAUCCUCCUCCUCUUCGCCGUCCGAGGGGCCGCCGGCAGCCUCCAAAGCCAAGGUGAAGGAGCAGAUCAAGAUCAUCGUGGAGGAUUUGGAAUUAGUCCUGGGGGACCUGAAGGAUGUCGCCAAGGAACUUAAGGAGGUGGUUGACCAAAUUGACACACUGACGUCUGAUCUGCAGCUGGAGGAUGAGAUGACAGACAGUUCCAAAACAGACACACUUAACAGCAGCUCUAGCAGCACAACAGCUUCCAGCUUGGAGAAAGUCAAGGUGCGCGGCAAUCCCCCUCUCAUCAAGCCGCCUGCGCACCCCUCUGCCAUCCUCACCGUGCUGCGGAAGCCAAACCCACCUCCGCCUCCACCACGACUGACGCCUGUCAAGUGUGAUGAACCUCCCAGGCCGCCUCCUUUGGCCAACCCAGUCAAGACGAAUGGCACCCUGCUGCGAAAUGGGGGCUUGCCAGUUGGGCCCAGCCGCAUCCCAAAUGGAGAUGUGUGCUGUAUACCGAACAAUAAUUUGGAGAAGGUCGUGGUGCAGCCUCUGAUGCACAGACCUGAGAAAGAGCGGUGUCCUCAGCCGGGAGCAAGGGAACGGGUACGAUUUAGUGAAAAAGUGCAGUACCACGGCUAUUGCCCUGACUGUGAUGUUCGGUAUAACAUUAAAAACAGGGAGGUGCACUUGCACAGUGACUCGACCCGUGUUCCUGGAAAGCUGCCACACCAGUGCCCUCCUCUGCCACCUCCACCACCUCCACUGCCUCCAUUUCCUCUGGAAAAUGGAGGGUUGGGGAUAAGUCCCAGUAAUAGCUUUCCUCCUCCAAGACCUGCAACUGUGCCUCCACAAACUGCACCAAAACCCCAGAAGACCAUCUUGAGGAAAUCAACCACUACAACAGUGUGAAGUAUGCCACUUGUAAUAACUCUUUAUUUUUUCCUAUAUAUAAACAUAAAUAGGUAAUGAGCACUUUCUACUUGAGCAAUAAAAAGACCCAAUGUAUUACUCCCUGUGUCCAGUGGAGUGGCAUAAAAAUCACAUGCACCUUCAGGCUUGAAGGAACACCUAUAUUUGGAGGCACGUCAGUUAAUUUGUUGCAUAUCAGAUUCAUCAUUGUGACUUCUUGCAGGCCAGAUCUGAGAAGUAACCAGGAACGUGAUCCUUAGUGGAGAAUGGAAGAGCCCUUCAAGUGAGAGCACAACUGGUCACUAAUGUAAUCUACAUUGAGUCAUCUUUCUCAGAUCUGACAGCUACAAGCUGAGUCCUGGCAAAAGCCACAGCCUUAAAUUCCAUUCAGUGGGAAAGAAGGAUGAGAGAACUAAAUGUCUUGCCCCAUUGCAGAGACCACUGUCUCCAAGCCUGACACCUGAGUUCUGUGCUGAGCAACCAGAGUAACAAACAGUGAGGUCUUUUAUGAGUACAGCCAGCAUCCACAAAUAUUUCAAUAUGUAGCCAAAAGGAGAAAUGAAGCACUUGUGAUAUCAGAAAAUGAAUACAUUUACUAUAACAGAGGAGUGUUGCUGUCUGUGGGGAAAGAAGACCUCUGUCAUCCCUUGUACAUAUUCAAAGCCAUACAGGAACAGGGCAUCAGUGAAGUUAAAUCACUUAGAAGGAUGCUGUUUCCUGUCCUCCACCCAACUUUGAGGAAGUUCCGCUGUUAGAGAUUGCAUCGCAAUGCACUUCUAGUAUUUGCACUGUCACUUCCAUUCAGGGUAACGAUGUGUGCCACCAUUUGCACAGAUGGCCCCAGGAGAUUUUUGACCACAAGCUAUACUUUGCUGGGGCUCCAAAAGGAAUUAAAAAGUUAGAACUGAAGAAAGACAUUUAUGCUCUCUUUCACUAUGGGGAUCUCUUCACAGAAAGGACUAUGGUCCUUUCUUAGGAUUAAAUAAAUACAUGCAUAUACAUACAUAUAUAUAUAUGUAUAUAUAUGAAGAAGCAUCAACAUGAUAAGGUGUAUUUAAAAAGGGGAUAUAAUCUUUUUUAAUAGUAUCCAUUUUUUUUUAUCAUAUUAGCAGCCAAGAAAUUUAGUCUAUUGAAUUAUACAUCCAAAAUGUUCCUAUCAAACAUUGACAUUUUAGUCCCAGUUACUGUUAAAGAAGUCAUUUGUAAUAUGUACUUGACAUUAAAUUUUUCUAGCCAUUUGUCUAUACUUCAUGGAGAAAUCUAACAGACAAGCAGCGUUUUCAUUUUAUUUUUCUAAAUAAAUAUGUUGUUUGUAUUAUUUGCAGUCACUCAUUUUGGCUGGUUUUCAUUAUCUCCAAAAGUGAUUUAAAGACAGAACCAAAACACAGAAAUUGUUUGUUCUUGUUAAGCUGUAAUGAUUUGCUGAAUGAAAGCUUUAAUAUAAAUACUGUAAUUUGUAAAAUGAUGAAGUAUAUUUAUAUAGGCAAGUAUGUAUGGAAAACAAAAGGAGGUAUUUUAACUCUUAAUUUCAGAACAUAGUUUAUUUUAAUAACCACAGGAAGAAAUUAAAUAUAUAAUGGUUAGGGGUUUUUUUAUAAAAUCAGUGGAUUUUAGUAAGUGAAGAUUUGGAUGUUUAAGAAUGACAUGAAUGUAGUCUAAUAAUGGUGGUUUCCCAAAUUAUACAGAGACCUUUUGUCAGCUGUCUCAUUUUAUUCAAAAACUGGUUUAGUUUUUUGGGGAGUUGGCGGUUUUUUAGGGUGCAUGUGUGCUAGCAUUUUUGUUUGGUUUUUUGUUUGUAUUAGCGUACUGACAAGACCAUGAAGUUGAUACUAUUUGAUAGUAAUUUGAAAAGCUACAGAAUAAGAGGUUGUUCCUUAGGAUGAUCUACACUUUACAGUUAAGAACAGUCAUUGUUAUCCAUCUAAUGCAGUGGUUUGUUGUACAGUUAUUGAACAUUUCAAUGCUAGAGCUGUUUUGAAUAAAAACUUUUUUUUUUCAUUUUUUUUCUUAGUCCAUUAGCCUGUGUGUAAUUUUAAGAGAAAAGUAAUGCAUUUGGUUCCCAGUUCACUCAAAUCGUUCAUCUUAAAUCCAGUCAUAUGUAUCUGAUUUAUAAAGCGGAAUAGGUUUUUCUUUUAUUUUAUUGCUUCAUGGAAUCUAUUAAGUGCUCACUAACAGAAAAAAAUAUCUUUCAAAAAAAAUUAAUCUGUGGUUAACUUUGUAAAGGGCAAAUAUCUUAAAAAUGUGUUGCUCUGCUCUAAUGUACUAACCAGUGUAUGCGUGUAUGUUUGUGUGUGUGUGCACGCAUGCGCACCCUUACCUGCUCAUGAAUGAAAUGCCAGCUCUGCUGAAGUAAGUGCCACAAGUCCUGUUUCUGCAAAAGAUGCUCAUAUUACUGUAUUUUUUGGUGAAAGACCUGGGCUCUGUCUUUGCUUGUGACUCUGAAGCCAUAAACAGCUUUUGAAGUUUGUCAGGAAAUCAGAAAAUGAAAUAAUAAGUUUAUAUUAGACUCCGUCAUUUGGCAAAACUUGGGAUGAUCUGAUGAUAUGACUCUUUUCUUUUAAAGAAAGUUAGUGGUCAAUUUCCAUUGGUGCAAUGGAUAAAUGAAACCUUUUUUGUAUUUGUUAAAGAAUGAUGGUUGUGUUUUGUUCACACACAAUUUAGCUUUCCAGUUGGCUUACAAUCUUGUUACUAUGAUGUCAUUUCUGUGUCAUUAGAAUACCUUGUUUGGACACACGACUUGCAUGGGCUUGGUUUUGCUCCCUCUUUUGAUAACCUAUACUUUAAAAUUGGAAAGUUCGUUCUUUGAAACUAGUAUUCAGAGUUGUUUAAGAAAGGGGCAACAUUACUGAAACAGUAAGAAAAUUUCAGAAUACUAAUUUGAAGACUUCCAUUAUUGCCUAAUGAUAAAACUUGGAAAGCUCUUAUUUUUGUGAACAAAAUGCAUUCGUUUAUAUCUGAAAAUAGCCCAAUAAAAAUCUAGUGAAAUAAUUUGUUACUACUUGCAAAUAUUUUUCUGCUAUUCUGAGUUCUAGAUCAGCUUGUUUGUAAAAUUUUUAUUGCACAAAACCCACCUGAUACAAUGUACAGUUUUCUUCAGAAAAAUACAUGAGAUAUGAAAAAUAAUGACCUGGUCCCAGAUAUGAUUUUAUAUAAUCUGUGUAAUGCAAAAAUAAUGCACAUAUACCAGCACGUAGGCCUAAUUUAAUGACAAAUGUAGUUGGAAUAUAACACUGCAAACCACAGUUCUGAUCAGUCACGCGUUGUUUGGAGCUCUGCUUAACUGGGACUUCAUGCUGGAAGUGUGUGCACAUCUAUGUGCACACACAUGCACUGUUAUGUAUCAUGUUUUAUUCUACUACCAGUGACACUGGGAUAAAUCUGGAUUGCAUGAUUUUUGUAGAUUUAAAUUAAAUCUUUAGGUGAGUAUUUAAUAUUGGAUAUAAAUUGAGCUGAUGUCUGUAUACUAUGCAGAUACUCACCUGAGAUAACACCUCGACACAAGAUUUCAGAAAUUGUUGACAAAUAAUUAGCACUGAAAUGCUUUUUCAAAAAGUUUAAAACCAGAGCAGACAAUUAGAUUAUCUCAUUAAACAAUAAAAAAUUUGUUUUGUUUCCCUUGUCUUAGUCUAAGCAUAUUGACAAGACCAACAGAACUUUUUUCAACUAAUAUGAUGUUAUGAUGACUGGUUGGUCCUUUUGUAGGCUUAUGUGUGUUUUGUGUAUAAGAAGCGCCUGAAGGUACGGUUCUAGAGUAAUAGUGCAUUAUUUCAUUACCUGGCAUCUGAAAAGGCACCUGAAGCAGCCAAUAGGCUUGAAAUGCUGAGAUGCGCAAAGAAAAAUGCUGACAGUUCUGGAUGUGUCUACAAGACAUACUUUCAGCACUUGAAUUUUUUUAAAAGACGAGGACCACCAUCAUUCAUGAAAAGAAUACGGACGUGUUAAAAUAGCUAUUUUGUAAAAUGGAAGCAAAAGAUUACAGAAAUCUGGUGAUCACCAGAAUGUUAUAAAAGUGUCCCUUUCCUGACUCAAACGAUCACCCCAAGUGUCACAUGGCAUGAAUAUUCCCAAGGGACAGAUUUUUUUCUGCGAUCGGUGGUGUGCUGGGUCCACAGCAAGGCAAUGAUGCUGUAAAUAAGACCUGACCACAGGUUAAGUGGUAGGCUGCUGUCUGAGGAGGGGUGGAAGAAGGACAGCCAUUGCUCUGCUCUGGAGCUCCCAUUGAAGGUAGGAGGCUGUUACUGAGGCUGGAUCUUACAGAGAAAAUUAGCUGAACAGAGUGACUCAUACAUUACGGUAAGAUUGCUUAGAGGACUGCUGAGACUAAAUUAAUGAUUUUCAUGGGCUGGAUAGUUGAAGAUCCCAUAAGAGAAGAAGUAAAAGCCAGGUGGAUGUGGUUCAAAUUACUUCAGCUGAAUUUCUCUCUAGAUUCAAUAGACUUGCAGGGCUGUAAAGAAGCCAAAAAAUCUCCCAACAGUUGGGCUCAACUUGAGAAAGGACAAUUAUAAGCAGGGACUCCUGUCAGAGAAAACCUGGAAGGAAUACUAAGAGAGUUAAGUCAUAGCAGAUGGCACAGAGACUAUUUAAGGUGGUGUAUCGAAGGCAGAGAGCAAAUACAUCCUGCUUAGCAAGAAAGGAUUGAGAAAGGGUAAAAGGGAAACGCAUGGCUAAGUAGCAGGGUGUCAGAGGCUGCUUAGGGCAAGAAGACAUCCUUCAGAUAGCUGAAGAUUUUUAAAGAAAAUGUAAGGACUAUAAGAUUAUUAAGACGAUAAGUAGGUAAAUAAAUAAAUAAAUACCACAGCAUGGUUAAUCAAAACAAUUGCAAGAUACAUAAGAGAUUUGUUGACUAAAAUAGUUGCAAGAAACAUAAGAGUUAAGAAGUUCUAUUUCUACAACAGAGCAGAGGGAAGUCUGGCAAAAAGUCUGUAAUGCCGAAAGAUAAUCAAGGAAAACAGUAGCACUUGGAAGAAGUUAUAGGGAAAAAAUUGUCUUAAGUUUUCAAUUCUGCUUGUUCCCUAAAAGGGCUUUGGCAGAUUCUUACACAUAAACUUUUCCCUGUGGAGGAACUCAUAUGGCUUUGUCAGUGUGAGGUGUUACAAAACAAAAUAAAGAGGUACACAUCUAAGAUUUUUAAAGGCACUCAGGGACAGAAUAGUCAAAAUGAUAACUGUGGUAUGAAAUUAAUUUUAUAAAAUUAUUUUGAUAGCUUUUGAGAUGUGAGAUCACAACUAUAUUCCAAUUUUAAAAUAAAUUUCAGAAAGGUUGAAAGAAGAGUAUAGACAAUUAGAUCAGUACUGGGCAAAACAGCUGAAACUAUAGUAAUAUUUCUUUGAAAAGAACUAGAAGGUGUUUAACAGUGUCAAUAAUACCAAACACUGCAGGAAAUUGCACAGCUAGCUAAGAGAAAACACAGAGAAAACUGCAGCUGCCUAAGAGGAAAGGGCUGCAUUCAUUAAAAAAAAAUGUAAAAUAUGGGAGAAAAUGGUGAUUUUGCUCAGUUUUUGCAGUGGACAGAGGCCAUGAGUGAAGUUUCAUGGGGCAUGUACUGGGAUCCAUGCAUCUCUAAAUAUAUUUGAACAUGUGAAUAUGCUGGAAAAGUAGUGUAUAGUUAUUUGGUAAAUUUGUUGGUCAUACUAAAUUAUUAAAAGUAUUAAAUAUGA